rnacentral:tRNA from 1 species
UCCCUUGUAGCUCAGUUGAUAAAGAAUCUGCCUGCAAUGCAGGAGAUCCAGGUUCAAUUCCUGCUUUGGGAA